UGCAGCUUCGGCUCUCGGGGAGGACGCUUGACGUGGGUGUGUGGAUGAGGAGCGGCUGCGACCACACCAGUGUGUAGUGGUCCUACUCUGGAUAUUACUUAUCAUUCAGGAUUACAAGGAUGUCACAUUUACAAUUGAUCAUAUGGAUUUGUCUGUUUCCUUCAUCCGUGGAGAAUUUUGAAACCCGCUUUUCUCAGGAGUCGCGCAGAGAGGAUUCAUUACACGUGAGGGAAUUAUUGUUAUUCUGAAAACUGGAAUUUAUAAGGAUACAUUUUUCUGGAUUCAAUACAACCUUUAUGAAUUGUUCUACUGGAUAACUGUGUCUUGACGUCUUUUACGCGGAACGUGUGUCAAGCUACAGCGUUCGCAUUGACACCCAACUACAGAACCAGAGAGGUCCGGUGCAGGGACUCCUAUGGUCUGGCACAGACACGCCGGUCAAUGGGUCUCUUGAGGAUAUCCUAUUCGCAGUGACCGAUGGCUAAAGUUCAGCGGUUACCGAUGGAAAUAACACGCACAAUGCUGGAUCACUACGAUGUUGGAUGAUUUGCAGGAUGGUUUGAACAGUGCAAUGGGAUUGGAUAGUAUGUUUUUGUGGUAUAUAUUGGGGGAAUUGUUACCCAUGUUUUGGACAUUAAACGGAAUGGAUUAUCCCAUUACGCACUCCUUAAUGGAUUAUUACCUGACAGAUGGAAUCAAGAUUCCUGGAGAAUGAGAGGACUUCUGGGGGAUUCACAAGUCUUCUUGUGGGAUGGAGAGAAGAUGGCUACUGGAUGUUCUCUGGACUGGAUCCUGUAUCAGCAGCAGCAGUGGAAGUUCCAUUUUGGAUCUGGCUAUCAUCAAUAUCAUUUAUUAAUAUCAGAAUACAGACCUUUAGACUAAUGUGAGGAGUGUUGUCCAGUGUUCCUCAGCCCCUUCCGGACAGGCACAUAAUGGGACACUUCACGUUUCCUCAGCCCCUUCCGGACAGGCACAUAAUGGGACACUUCACGUUUCCUCAGCCCCUUCUGGACAGGUACAUAAUGGGACACUUCAUGUUUCCUCAGCCCCUUCUGGACAGGCAAUUAAUGGGACACUUCAUGUUUCCUCAGCCCCCUUCUGGACAGGCACAUAAUGGGACACUUCACAUUUCCUCAGCCCCUUCUGGACAGGUACAUAAUGGGACACUUCACAUUUCCUCAGCCCCUUCUGGACAGGUACAUAAUGGGACACUUCACAUUUCCUCAGCCCCCUUCUGGACAGGUACAUAAUGGGACAGUCCACUUUUCAUCACAUCCCCCCCCAUGGAAAGUUACAGUCCACUUUAACCACCAACACCUCUUGCCCCCAUAACGUACAUGGGACAGUCUCACAUUUAUUCUGGAAUAAGACAUGACAGUCAUCCACUCCAGUUCACCCAAUGGGAUUCCAACAGAAUGACUUUUGUUCUACUGCGCAUGUCUAAAGGACUGCCUUUCUGUUUAAAACAUCUAUGACAUCACACUGAGCUGCUGAUGUACUUAUUGAACAUGAUACAUGUACUUCUAUUUUCUAAUUCACUAUAUUAUGCUUUUAUUGAAACUUGAAGAAUGCUGAACUGGUCCGUUGAAGAUUUCUGAGGGCACUUUAAUAUGCCACUAUUUCAACAACAUAAAAUAAGCCUGUAUAUUGAGACAUGUUUACCUUCUCAUCGUAUCAAAUGUGACAAUAUGACAGUACAUUGCAGCACUUGCCACUUGUCAGGUCGCCACAUCACAAGCCAAUGUGAGUCCAAAAAUAUGCAAGGGAGAUAAGUAUGCUGUAGCUAAGAAAGUAAUACUCAGUGUAUGUUGUGUAGUAAGCUGUUAGUAGCCCAUGUGCCUCAACCGAAUAAUUUGGUCUAUUUUCACCUCUAAUUUCGUCUACUGUUCUGACUUGAUGGUGCACAUGUAGCCUAUAACCCGUUUUUGAGAAAUGUCAUCAUCUGAUAUUGGAAGAGCUUUCAUUGUCUGCUUAUAUGCCCCCUUUAUUUAUCCUACAGUUCUAACUUGGUGUACAGGGAAACUACUGUAAGAGCAGCCCAUGUUCUGCAUUCUGUCGCUGUACAUUUCAAAAGUGCUGAACACAGUUAUAUUGACUACGUCCUUCGUCGCUCAAGCUCAUUACUGUCAUAAUUGAAAUUAUGGAAUGCCUCUUAUCCACUCAUCGUUCCCUUAUGCCAUAGUUUGUACAUCUCAGUUGUCAGUAGAAACCAUAUUUGUUGAAUCAAGUCAGCCAUACCAGCUAUAUUUUAAAAAGGCAAUAAAUGAGGCUGAAUUAAUUGUUUCGCUGCCAGACAAGGCAGCUUUGCCAUUGGGACAGUUUAAUGUUGGGCCCGAACAGUUUGUGGGCACCGCUUGUCACCGUUAUAGUGCAAUUAAUGUAUUGUUUAGUGUUGUGUUGUGUAGUGGCUUUGCUGGCAUUCAUCUUAAACCAUUUUUGGGAGUUUUCCACACCAAGAUUUACAUGCUAAAAUCACCACUGACCAUGUAGAGAAUCUACAAAUGGAAAACCCAGACUAUCCAAAUAAAGUGUGACCCAACAAAUGUCCCCUUGGGGAUUAAAAAGCAUAUAUACUCUAUGAUUAUACAAUCAGGUAUCUUGUCUCAGAAUGACAGAACCUGCCAUUUGAAGGUCAGGAAAUACCAUUAAGAAUCUUUACCCACUGUGUGAAAGAGUCUGUUAGAGUAAGAAACCAACAGUAAUGUAAUAUUUCCCCAUUAGGUCACAUAGAGAUCAACCUUUCUCUGACCUUAACAUAAUAUACGCAAGACUGUUAUUGUGUAGGAGGUUGAGUUACUCCUACUGU